rnacentral:rRNA from 1 species
GACGAACGCUGGCGGCGUGCCUAAUACAUGCAAGUAGAACGCUGAAGAGAGGAGCUUGCUCUUCUUGGAUGAGUUGCGUACGGGUGAGUAACGCGUAGGUAACCUGCCUGGUAGCGGGGGAUAACUAUUGGAAACGAUAGCUAAUACCGCAUAAUAGUAGAUGUUGCAUGACAUUUGCUUAAAAGGUGCAAUUGCAUCACUACCAGAUGGACCUGCGUUGUAUUAGCUAGUUGGUGAGGUAACGGCUCACCAAGGCAACGAUACAUAGCCGACCUGAGAGGGUGAUCGGCCACACUGGGACUGAGACACGGCCCAGACUCCUACGGGAGGCAGCAGUAGGGAAUCUUCGGCAAUGGACGGAAGUCUGACCGAGCAACGCCGCGUGAGUGAAGAAGGUUUUCGGAUCGUAAAGCUCUGUUGUAAGAGAAGAACGAGUGUGAGAGUGGAAAGUUCACACUGUGACGGUAUCUUACCAGAAAGGGACGGCUAACUACGUGCCAGCAGCCGCGGUAAUACGUAGGUCCCGAGCGUUGUCCGGAUUUAUUGGGCGUAAAGCGAGCGCAGGCGGUUAGAUAAGUCUGAAGUUAAGGGCUGUGGCUUAACCAUAGUACGCUUUGGAAACUGUUUAACUUGAGUGCAAGAGGGGAGAGUGGAAUUCCAUGUGUAGCGGUGAAAUGCGUAGAUAUAUGGAGGAACACCGGUGGCGAAAGCGGCUCUCUGGCUUGUAACUGACGCUGAGGCUCGAAAGCGUGGGGAGCAAACAGG